UUAAAGUCAGGUAGCCUCAUGAAAGUUUCAGGUGCUAUACCAGUAAGACAGGCCUGGAACUAGGAAUGCAUACGUAAGUGUAGACCAACAGGCAUUGGAGAAAGUGACUUUGUCUCUCUAGAUCUGAGCUUCCACAGCGGAAGCUCUGACGUUCAUAGAGAUAGAUGAAAAGCUCUCCUUUCUUGGAGAAAUUUCUCUCUACAAAAUUACCUGCAUGAAGGUGAACAUCCCUGGGAGGAUGGGAAUGACAAUUAUGGUUCAUUCUAUCAAAUGGCUUUAAAAUUAAACUGCAGAAAGAAGGAAGCAGGAAAUGCCACUGCGACAAUAGCACAUCUUCAUGAUGUUCUCCCCAUAAUUUACUCUAAAUGAAGGUAGAAACCAGGACACAGAACUUUUGUUGCAGAUGGAAAGAGAAAAAGGCAUGCCAGUCAUUUUGUUCUUAAACAUGUGCAUUAAAAAAAAAAAAUCUUUCCCUCAGGGUUUCCAUAGCUACUCCACCCCGACCCCCUCAGUUUUCAUUCGCAACUUGUCUAAGGGAGAGGUCAAGGACAAGUGGCAUCAGUGCCUUCUCACCCACCAGCACAGAAGAGGACAUCAGAACCUGUGCCCCAUGUGUUGCUGAUCCACACCCCAUGUCACAGAGAAGGGCAAAGCAAAUCCAAACAGAAUCCUCUCUACCUAAACAAUCUCUCUUGUUCCUUUUAGCUUUGAAAUUCUAUGGAAAGCUGCCUCAAGAAUGUCCUUCAAGCUAAACACAAACUAGAACAUUGAAAUAAAACACAAUCAUCUGUCAUACAGUAAAAAUACAGAUUUUAAAAAUUUCCCAAACAAUGAAUUUUCUAGAGCCAAUUUCUUUCAUAAAAUGAGAUCAUAUUUAUUUUAACAUUAAAACCAAAACAAUUGAAAAGAAUACUUUUAGAUCAAAAAGACCAAUCUCUCUCCUAGGGUUUCCAUCCUGGAUUGAUUUUGGGAUCCUUCAAUUCUAUUCUGGUGCUUGGUUACUGGUCAUUACUACCAGAGGUGCAUUCUGUGAUCCUCCCUUGAUUUUCUUGUACUGUCUCUGAAAUUGUUCCUCAAGGCUAUUUUGUUUCCCAUAACAAUUGAAUUGGAAUUUCAAAAGUUCCCUGUUCUUUAUGUUCAGACAAGAACAUUGGCAACAUCUUACCAAAUGUUCAGGAAUGCUUGUUCUUGGGACUCUCAGCCCUGAGUUUAACCUCAUGCCUGGUAUCUGGUUCCUGGCAGGCUCCCAUAUGGCCUAGGGAAAAGCUUGUCCUCAGCGAGAAACCUCAACCCCUCUGUUCCCUGCUUCCCUUCCAAGGCACAAACAACUACAUGAGCAAGACAGUUUCUUCAUGAGAAACUCCUCCCAUGCUCCCUCUCCAGCCUUGGAACGCACAAGGGCAGAUGGUCUUCCAUGGCCCACACAAGUCUAAAUCUGUAUUUGGAAGUUUUCAGAUUGGGGAUAGUGUAUCCACUCCCUUCUUAGAGUCUACUAAAGUAAAAUAAAGAAGAGAAACCAUAUGCUAAACCCACAACAAAGAGGAUGGGAGUCAGGCUCAGUAGAAGAACUAUUUAACAUUCUAAAUAUGUCAAGUGAAUGGAGGAUGUAAAAUGGAUGGGGAAGUCAUGCUUUCAUAUAGGGGCACAUAGACAACAUCGAAGAUGGUUUACCCUCACAAAACCUUGGAGAACUGCCAAAUUGGAGAUGUCACCUAUGGUGAAAGGAAGGAAUAAAGCUUGGAACUGAGAACAGGGGAUUAGUUGACAAGGUAUGGAAGAGACAAACUCUGCUCUCUCUAGCCCACCCUUGACACUUGAAGACCCAGUGUAGGCAACUAAGUAUCUCUCCCAGGCUAGAGACUGGAGUUUCUUCUUGGGUGUGGGAGGUGGAAUUAAUGACUCUUGGGGAAGUAUGAAGUCUAGCACCAGAAGUCUCCUCACAUAAAAGAUAGUUUCCUACUUGAUAAAGCAAACUGUAGCAACUCAGAAAUCUUUCAGAUGUAGAGUUUCAGAUCAGCUUUUCACUGCACUACUCUGAAAUGUGAACAGCCAAACAAGGAUUCUAACACAUGUGAAGGAGCCCUCAGAUAGCAGGGGGCCAGAGGCGGGUGGACUCAAUGAAAAGAGUGAAAAUGCAGAGAACAGAAGAGAACUCUACAAAAAA
rnacentral:lncRNA from 1 species